rnacentral:lncRNA from 1 species
UAAGUUUGUUAAAAGUUGGUGAUUAUCACUCUACUAAUGGCUUUGAUUGGUUAUGUUGUAUCACCGUAGUACAAAAUGUUACCAUCUUAUGUGUAAACCAUUAAGUGCAGUCUGACGUCAUCUGUAGAUGGUGUUAUAAAAGGUGAUACCACGAAUCUUACUACUAUCUAACAUUGAAAUGUAUUGCCAUCUCUUACCACUAUUUAUCCGACUUACACCCUUUUUUUGUUUGAAGAAAUCAGUAGUUAAUAGCUACACUAUCUUUUUUGCUUGGAGCCAACAUUUUAUCAGAAUCGGCUCUCCGGUGACACACUAAUACUGAAACGUUAACAACAAGAACCGAACAGAGUGGUGAAAAAAUA